rnacentral:pre_miRNA from 1 species
AAACCACUCUCUUCGUUCAGAAUUACUUGUCGCAGAAAUGGAUGUAUCUAGAUGUAUUUUAGUUCUAGAUACAUUCAUUUUUGAGACAAGUAAUUCUAAAUGGAGGGAGUACACC